CUAGCCUAAAAUAGGUUGCUUGCACUAAAGCGGUUAUUGGUAGGUUUUGGAUGCCUUUAAAGACAGAGUUCAUUGAUUUCAUAAGAUUUAUUGUCAUGUGUCUCCAUCGUUGACCGUUGUCGUAUGCCAUAGUUCACUUCUCCAAUAGAAUAUUAUCGAUCCAUCUUACUGCAUAUGCGUUUGACAAUCUGAUGUCUUCGCAUCGCCACAACACCUACUUAUAAACACC
rnacentral:lncRNA from 1 species